AUACUUACCUUGCUUGGACACUGGCGAUCAUGAAGGCCGGGUGUCUGGAGGAACUUCGUGCAUUGCACAGCGCGCAGAAGUACCUCCAACCAUCUCCUUCGGGGGCUGGUCGAGUGGAAUUUUUUAUUUCUUCACAUACUUUGUGCUU
rnacentral:snRNA from 21 species